rnacentral:rRNA from 1 species
CCCUAUGGGUAGUAAACUGCUUUUAUACGGGAAGAAAAAAGGGUACGUGUACCCUACUGACGGUACCGUAAGAAUAAGGACCGGCUAACUCCGUGCCAGCAGCCGCGGUAAUACGGAGGGUCCGAGCGUUAUCCGGAAUUAUUGGGUUUAAAGGGUCCGUAGGCGGGCCGGUAAGUCANAGGUGAAAGUCUGUAGCUCAACUAUAGAAUUGCCUUUGAUACUGCUGGUCUUGAGUUAUGGUGAAGUUGGCGGAAUAUGUAGUGUAGCGGUGAAAUGCAUAGAUAUUACAUAGAACACCGAUUGCGAAGGCAGCUGACUAACCAUAUACUGACGCUGAUGGACGAAAGCGUGGGGAGCGAACAGGAUUAGAUACCCUGGUAGUCC